UUACAACAUCUAAUUAAUAUUUAUCAUUUGAUGUUAACAGUGUGUCAUGGUCCACUGGGAGAAGAGAAAUCACCUGGAGACACAUGGAUAUCUAACUGCCACCAGUGUACCUGUACUGACGCACAGGCUGUGGACUGCAAACCCAAAGAGUGUCCUUCUCCGCCCACCUGCCAAACUGGAGAGAAGCUUAUGAUAUUCAAAUCGAAUGACUCCUGCUGUGACAUCGGCCACUGUGAACCAAGAACCUGUUUAUUUAACAAUACAGAUUAUGAG